rnacentral:rRNA from 1 species
CAUGUAGGCGGUUGUUUAAGUCUGAUGUGAAAGCCCUGGGCUCAACCCAGGAGGUGCAUUGGAUACUGGACAACUUGAGUACGGGAGAGGAAAGUGGAAUUUCGAGUGUAGGGGUGAAAUCCGUAGAUAUUCGAAAGAACACCAGUGGCGAAGGCGGCUUUCUGGACCGAUACUGACGCUGAGAUGCGAAAGCGUGGGGAGCAAACA